AUGCAGAACCAGAUGGAAGAAGAAGUCACCGAUGUUGAAAGGGGUCAUGCCGAUGAUUCUGACGAGUCAGAUGAAGAAGAAAAUGCAGAGGAGGUCCCGAAUCCUGCAUGGUGGAAUCAUGACUUAUCAUCUGCAAUGACCGUGAAUGAUGGACAUGAUUCAGCCUGGCAAUAUCACCAAAACAAUAUUGCGACGGGUGCUAUGUAUCCGAACAAGCAAGCCCUGAAGGAUGCAAUAAUUAAUUGGGCAAUGUCCACGCAAAGGUUUUCACAGCUCAGGUGUCCAGUCAGAAAUUCCUGA
rnacentral:rRNA from 1 species